GAUGAACGCAGGCGGCGUGCCUAAUACAUGCAAGUCGAGCGAAUGGAUUAAGAGCUUGCUCUUAUGAAGUUAGCGGCGGACGGGUGAGUAACACGUGGGUAACCUGCCCAUAGGACUGGGAUAACUCCGGGAAACCGGGGCUAAUACCGGAUAACAUUUUGAACCGCAUGGUUCGAAAUUGAAAGGCGGCUACGGCUGUCACUUAUGGAUGGACCCGCGUCGCAUUAGCUAGUUGGUGAGGUAACGGCUCACCAAGGCAACGAUGCGUAGCCGACCUGAGAGGGUGAUCGGCCACACUGGGACUGAGACACGGCCCAGACUCCUACGGGAGGCAGCAGUAGGGAAUCUUCCGCAAUGGACGAAAGUCUGACGGAGCAACGCCGCGUGAGUGAUGAAGGCUUUCGGGUCGUAAAACUCUGUUGUUAGGGAAGAACGAGUGCUAGUUGAAUAAGCUGGCACCUUGACGGUACCUAACCAGAAAGCCACGGCUAACUACGUGCCAGCCGCCGCGGUAA
rnacentral:rRNA from 1 species